rnacentral:misc_RNA from 1 species
CUUCAUUGCUUUCUUCCAAUGGUAAUGCUCAAAUAAAAAUGCCCAGUCAUGUCAACAGCACCCAUGUUGAUGAUCAUCAAGUAACAUUGAAACUGAAUAAUGGUAGUUGCAAUACUAUACAAUCAAGUACUAAUUAUGGUGAAGUAACACUAAGAACAAUAAGGCUAAUAAUGAUCUUAAUAGCAAUGUUAAAAGCAGUAACUGUUAUUCCACUGCCAUUCAUUCUAACAAAAACUUAUCUCCAACGGCAACGCAAAAGUCAUCAUCCAGUUCUUUCGUCAUGGGAAAGACAGCUUCUCUUUUAACAUAGUAAGGCAGUGAUAAUUAUCAAAAGAAAAAUGAGAAGAUGAAGAAGGUAGUAAGGUAGCUGAAAUGAAUUAAAUGCAUGCCAUACAUAAAUAGCAUCAGGGCAAUUAGUAUUAAAGCAAUUGCUUCAACUUGAAAUUCUGCGAAACAAUUUGGAGGUAGAAGCCACAUAGAAUACAGUACACUGAUUAUCUUUGCAUGCUAAUGAGAAUACAGUUGAUGCGAUCCUAAAGCAGGAGUUAACCCAUCAAAGAAAAGUCACUUAAAAUCUCUCACAAUCCCAAUUCCAAUCAAACCAAUCAAAGGGGAAAGGGAAUAGCCGCCAAUGAGGCCGUAGUCUAAAGCUAGCUAAGGUUGAGGCCCUGGAGCCAAGAGGUCUCAAGUUCAAAUAACACUAGUGUUAGGUUAUUGUAUUUGCAUAUUAUUUGAUUGUUUAUUUGUGUAUGUUUAAUUUGCUAGCAAAUGUACUUUGACUUAGGUCAGUUGCAGUCAUAUCUAAUACCAUUACAAUAUAAUAUGUAUUCUAUCUCCUGGCAAAAAAGGGUGACUCAGUGCACAAAGCAUUUGAUUAGAGUUGAUCUAAGCAGCCUUGCCCUGCUUUGAAGAAAGGCUGUUUCCAUAUUCUAUCUCCUGGCACAAGAAAAAAAAAAUGCAAACACUCACAAACACAGAGGGAAUAGCUAAUCAGCUAAAAUUCAAGCAAAGACUCCAUCAUGUCUCAAACAAAUUCCACAGCUUUAGCUUUAUCGGAUUUGUGAAAUUCAUUUCUUACUUGGUAGCUCCCUUGAAAUGGAAAUUAAAAUGAGAAGUCAAAAUAGUUCAAAGACCACAGGCAGAAACCCAAAGCUACCCUGGUUGAAUUAAUAAAAUAAUUAGUGUGUUAACAGUCAAAAUUAAGAAUCUCACCAUUGAAAGUCCUCCUCACAUAACAAUUCAAAUCCUACAAUAAAGCAACGAACAAAUGUAAAACACUAGAGAAACCCUAGAAUUAGAAAUGGGAAUAGGGAUAAGAAAGAGAGUACUUGAACUGAUUACAGAGAUGACACAUGCAGGGAUUGAAAAAGGUAAGGACAGAGAGAGCGGCGGACCCGAUCCAUAUGUUGAUAAAGCGGUCUGGGUCCGCAUGCCCACUCCUGGCUCUCCUCCGUAUGCAUUUCAAAAGUACUUCUCCAUUAUCGCCUUCUCUGCUACACGGCCCAAGCUUCAAUUGUUUCCUGUACCGUAAGCUUAUCCGCUUAUCAUUGUUUCCCUUUCUUCUACUACUGUUCUUGUGCGGAACAAGAAUUGCUUAUACGGGAACGGGAUAAAAUAA